GCCGGUGUGGUGGAAUGGCAGACACAAGGGACUUAAAAUCCCUCGGCAUAACAACCGUGCGGGUUCGACCCCCGCCACCGGCACCA
rnacentral:tRNA from 1 species